GGAACAGUGAACAAAAGGGCAGGUCUUUGGAGAGAUGGACAAGUGGGGCAAAACCAACACAUGGGGUAAAGGAGCAAGCCCUUGAUCUAGUCCUCUUUUUAAUGCAAAUACUUCGCAGCACUGUGCUGACCAAUUCGAAGACAGCUUCCCCUUUUCUACAGCUUCCAUAUUUUGACCAUCUAUUAUCGCAUACUCAGAAGCUCUUUUCCCAGAGACUACUCUAGAGGAUCCAUCUGUGAACAAGACUCUCCCAUGAGACUGCUGCAGCUGCAAUCGCUUGCAGGCAAGUUGGCCACCCCCGGGCUACAGGAUCUAGUAAUUUGGACAGAAAUGCUACAGGUUUUCGUGAUCCUCCCCAUUCUUGGAUCUUCACGCUCCCUUCACUCACAACCCCACCCUGCCAACAGGCAGCAUAUGUUAGCUGUUCUAUAUCGGGAUUCUCCUGAGUUCGCAAAAACUGGUUCAGUUGGGAACACAUCCAUGGAUCAUGAGUUCCAUACCAUGGCCACCUUCCUUGUAAUUUCAGCUUUGGCCAAAUCUCUGUACAAUAAUAAAUCAUUCUAACUUGGUCAAGGGUUUUAGUGGCUUCUUAAGAAUCCCAAUGGUCUAAUAACUGUCCAAGUGGACUAUCUAAUGGAAUACUCUUUAUCUUCUUUUUUCCUUUGAAAGGGAUCCCUGUUUUACUAACACACUGACCCAUCCUUAAAUAAAUAAACUAAGAUCCCAAAUGUGCCCCUACCCAAACGGAAAUUUA